GCCUCCGUGGUGUAGUGGUCAGCACGCUCGACGCCUAACCGAGAGUUCCGUGGUUCGAUUCCCGGCGAAGGGG
rfam:Stegodyphus mimosarum contig14939, whole genome shotgun sequence.